rnacentral:rRNA from 1 species
GACGUAGGGCGCGAGCGUUGUCCGGAUUUAUUGGGCGUAAAGAGCUCGUAGGCGGUUUGUCGCGUCUGCUGUGAAAACCCGAGGCUCAACCUCGGGCCUGCAGUGGGUACGGGCAGACUAGAGUGCGGUAGGGGAGAUUGGAAUUCCUGGUGUAGCGGUGGAAUACGCAGAUAUCAGGAGGAACACCGGUGGCGAAGGCGGAUCUCUGGGCCGUAACUGACGCUGAGGAGCGAAAGCGUGGGUAGCAAACAGG